UUGAGCUGGUGUGGGAGUCCACCGGUUAUUGGCUGGCCUGAUAGGCGUGUUGGCACUACUCCCGGCUGCUUGGUUGCUUCCUUCCUCCUCGGUGGGUUGCUGGGCUUGUAGUUCCAUUUGUUGCUGGGCUUGUAGUUCCAUUUGUUGCUGGGUUUGAAGUUCCAUUAGUUGCAGAGUUCGUGGUUCCAUGGUGAUGAGUUGAGAGGAAGUGUAAAUUGAAGAACGAAGUUGUUGAGUGUUUGAGGGAGAUUUUGUUAGAAGGAUUGGAGUUGUUGAACUGGUGAUUGGAGAUCUGAGAUUCUCAGAGGAAAGAUGAGAUCGAAUCUUCAAAUGGAAGAAAAGAUCUGAGAAAGAAGGAUUGAAGAUUUGGAGGAAAAGAUUGAAGAUCUGAAAGUUCAGAGGAAAGAUGGGAUUGAAUCAACUAGAUGGGAGAGAAGAUCAGAAGAGAAGGAUUGAAAUUGAUGAAGAAAGGAUUUGAGUUUCGAGAGGAAGGCUGAAGAGUUUGAGAGAGAUUGGCUGGGAAAAAUUUCUUUUCUUUGGUGUGAACAGUUUUUCUCCAGGAUGCACCUAUUUAUAGAACGAGGUGAGCAGAUCUCCACCGUUGGAUGGACGAUCUCUGAGAUUCAAUCUACGCGUUGGAUUAAAGUCAUCCGAAAACCCGGAAAAGUUGUUGGCGCGUGGAGAGCGUGUAAGGGGACAGGCCGAACCUCGAGACGCUGUGGCAGACAGCUUUAGCCGAAAGUGAUUUGCUUUCCGUAAAUCACGGAAGAGACGUGUCGUGGCACGUGGAGUGUACCGACAGUUUGUUGUUAUUCUAUCGCUUAUGAUAGAAUAAAUAAAAGAAGUUGCAUGGAUAGUAACGAGAGCAGCUGGUGCUCUAGUGGUUGAAGAGCAAGGCUCUUGUACAAGAGGUCAGAGGUUCGAACCUUGCCUCUCGUUUAUUUUUAUUAUGUUCGCUUAUGACAUAAUAAGUAUAACAUUUGUACACAUUAUAUUAAGCACAGCUUGUGCUCCAGUGGUUGGGGACAAAGGUUUCGUGCAGCAGGUUGAGGUUUCGAGCCUUGCCUUCCCCGUUAUUUUAUUUAUGUCGCUUAUGACAUAAUAAAUAUAACACGUGAGCAUAUAUUAAUGAAGGCAGCUCUUGCUUCAGUGGUUGGGAGCAAAACCUUCGUGUUCGAGGUCGGGAGUUCGAACCUUACCUCUUACAAAUAUUUUUGGAUCUCGUAUAUGCUUGAUAUACGGACGUAUAUACGGUAUGUACGGUAUACAUACGUAUAUACGGUCUGUACGGUAUGUAUACUUAUAUACAGUUGUACAGUAUGCAUACGUAUAUACGGUCUGUACGGUAUGCAUACGUAUAUACGGUCUGUACGGUAUGCAUACGUAUAUACGGUCUGUACGGUAUGCAUACGUAUAUACGGUAUGUACAAUUUCAUACCGUAGCCGAGCUGGAAGUUGGUAGGCCCAAAUAGUAAGCCCAAUUGUUCGGCCCGAUUGGUAGGCCCAAUUGUUCGGCCCAAAUGGUAGGCCCAAAUGUUAAACCCAAAUUGGUUCGAGCCGGUUCUAAAUGUGGAUGGUUCGGUUUCUUCGGCCCAAUUGGCCAGCCCUAAUGCUUAGCCCAAGGAUUGAGCAAGCCCAAGUCAUCAUCACUGGGUGACAUGUUUUAUUGGCGUGCUUUUGAGAAUGAUUUGUUUUGAGUGAUGCUAAUUGAGAAGCGAAACGCUUUGUGGGAGUGUUUACUGUGCUUGUAUGCCAGUACAGGAUGACGAUCUGUGUGAAAACAGCUAUAUGUGCAAUGCCACGUGGUGAUUUGAGUGUGGGUUGCUUGAGGCAAUUGUUGUGUUGUAAUUUUGAGAAAUGAUGCGGUGAAGGAAUGUCAUGUUGAUGACUUAAGUGGGGAUGAGGAUUUCAUUUGUGAAUUCUCGUUGUGUGAGUUUACGUUUGUGAUGAAAGGAUUUAGUGGCCAUAGGAAUGUAUUUUUAUACAAAGGGCUGUGGUUUUGUAGAUUACUACAGUUUUGGGAAAGAUGGAGAUUCGAUGGUUAGGUUAACUGUAAUCGAGAGCAAUUAACUUGCGCUUAAAUUUCGGGACGAAAUUUCUUUAAGGAGGGUAGAUUGUAAUAACCUAGUUUUUUUUAAUCAAACAAUUUGGUGGCAAACACCGGUUCCGUGAUUUAAGGUUAGUGGACAAUUGCAUAAUUUGAAGGCCGGUGCUUUAACAUGAUUAUGCAUGAGUGGAAGAACGAAUCAAUUAAGCUAAGAAACGAAUUCUCUCUCUCUCACGUCCGAAACCACCCAAAACAGAGCAAAACUUCUCCAAACUCUCUCUCACUCCACCGGCCACCAAUCAAGACCAGAACACUUCCUAUAGCUUCGCCUCGACCUUGCGCAGCUGCAGGUGGCAGCCUUGAACCACGACACGGCCACCAGCGGCGGCGGGAAGCUCCGCCCGGUUUGAGCUCGUUUUGGUUCCAAGCUUGAUAUCUCAAGCUACCGGCCAACAAUCCUCACCAAACUUCACCCACGAGCUCGCCUCAACGUCCUGAAGCUCCCAGAAGUGGCCUUGCACGGCGGCGCUACUCGUGGUGGCGGCUGGAAGCCAGACCCGAUCAAAUCGAAAACCGAAGCUUCGAUCGGUAUAUCUCGAGCUGUAGUGCAUCGUUUUGAUUGAUUCUUUUUCCAGUGGGUUCCCCUUGAUGUUGAUAACAACUCUCUAGAAGGCAUCGAGGCCUGAAAUUGAAGUUUUUACGUCGAUCGGAGCCCUCGCCGGAUUCUGCAAAAUUCUGCAAAUUUUCCGACCACCGAAGCUUUCGAUCGGUAUAUCUCGAGCUACAGACCAUAUUUUUCUGUGAUUCUUGAACCAAUGCGUUCGUCUUGAGUUUCUUAACAACUCUCUAGAAGGAAUCGAAGCCUGAAAUUGAAGUUUUGACGUCGAAAUCAAGCCUUGCCGGAUUCUGCAAAUUUCGCCGGAUUCUGGAAAUUUUCCGGCCACCUCGACUGUUCUAGGUUAUCGACGGAUUGAUUUGGUGGACGAUUCGGAUUGAUGUAUUUGGCUUUUUAGAAGACGCAGCUGGAUUAGAGCGGGAAAUCCUACAGGUCAGGAAGAUCAAGGCGGAGAUCGUGCGGGUUAGAGUUUUUGUUUCAGUUUACAGCUUUGUAAAUUGUGAGAUGUAUUAUUAAGAGGUGUGAAGUGUGGUUGUUGUGAGAAAAAAAUUCAGGACGUUUAUUCUAUUAAGUUGUAUAAUUCAUGUUUCGGAUUUUAAUUGUAUUUAAAAUUCGGGGCGUGACA